AAAAGCUGCAGACAGUAUCAAUGUGUAUUAUUAGCCAGUUAUAACUCAAGCCUUUAAAACCAGGCAAGUCACAAUAGGCUCUUCAAACACCUUUCUGACAUAACUAAGGCAAUCAGCCCAUUGCGCCAUAACCAGAAGACAAUAUCUAAUGGCAAUUGCCAUGUAUAGUGUGAAGGCCUUUCCUUGUGGAUUCAGAAUGGAGCAUGGACCACAAUUCUCAGAAGCGACUUCUAGAGAGACUGUCCUUGGACUCAAACUGUAAUUUUUUCCUGAGCCCCCAGCCUGAUGGCCUCCCGCAUCAGAUGUUGGACUCACCAAGCCUCCACAAUUAUAUGAGCCCAUUCUCUAAAGGUCUUGCUGUCCACUCCAGGCUGGAGUGCAGUGGUGCAAUCUCAGCUUACUACGGCCUCCACCUCCUGGGCUCAAGCAAUCCUCCCACCUCAGCCUCCUGAGUAGCUGAGACUACAGACAUGUCCUGCCAUACCCAGUCUUUUUUUUUUUCCAUUUUUUGUAGCGACAGGAUCUUGCUGUUUCCCGAACUCAUCUAGAACACCUGGGCUGAAGCAACCCUCCCUCCUCAGCCUCCCAAAGCACUUGGAUUACAGGCUUGAGCCACUGUGCCUGGCCAGGAAUAAAUUUCUAACCCAUCCCAUGACUCCCAGCAGAAGGAAAGUCUAAAUUUAGCCAUAGUUUCAGAAACAAUGCCCUUACAUGACGUGAAAUAAACAGGUCUUUAAGAGAGAGGUGCCAGCUCCUCGUUCGUGGAUGCAUUUGUCCACCUAGGAAUAGACACACGCUGCACAUUUCCUGCAUGCUGGGCUCUGUAAGGAGGAAGGGAGAGGCCCCUGCUUGGAGAAGCUUUCCAUCCAACAGAUGUGGAUGCUACCUAUGCCACCAGUGUCAAACAUAACUUCAGGAUCACAGAAGAGGCCGAGAGUGCUAAAAGGUCACGCUGGAAUGAAGCAUAUGAGGUGAGAACAUAGCAAGAAGCUACCAUCUGUGCACCAGGAAAUGGGCCCUCACAAGACAUCAAAUCUGCCAGCCACCUCAAUGGUGGGCUUUCCAGCCUCCAGAACUGUGAGAAAUAAAUUUCUGUUUUUAUAAGCCACCUGGUUUAUGGUAUUUUGUUACAGCAACCUAAACAGACUAAGACAAUUGGCAAGAUCAGAUGUAUUUGGCAAAGAUUUGCAUAGACUAGAGUCCCGCUGUGUGGCUGGAGCAAGGGAAGCUUGCGCUGUGCCUCAGGUUGAUCCAGUCCUUACCUUGUGGCCUUGCCCGAUCCUCACAGCACCCCUCGGUGGUGAGAAUGAUUAUCUCCAUUCUAUGGAUGAGGAUAUGGAUAACCAGAGAGGUUAAGUGAACAGCCUCAGAUCACACAGCCAAUUCAAGUCAGGGCUGCUGCAGAGAGCCUGAAACAGGGGGAUCCUGGGAGGGAAGGAAGAGCAUGCAUCCUCUCACCCAAAACAGAUGUCUGGCUGAGUUCCAAAAGCAAAAGUACUCUGAGUGGGUCCCACCCCUGAUGGGGAAGGCAGCCCCCUGGCCACCAGCCUGGGGAGGCCACACAGUUGCUGCUAUCCCAUGGGCAGCUGGCCCCUUCCUCCCACAAACAGCAGCACCUGCUCACCAGAUCACCAGGCAGAGGCAAGAUGAAUGUUCGCAGCACCACGUCCUGCUGAAGCUCUACACAAACACAGCACCCAUGGCAACCAAACAGAGGGCAAACACAGGAGCAGGAAUGCCGCUGUGAGAACAAGGCCCAGGAGUGACAGCCACGAGCCACCCACUUUAUGGGCACUUACUAAGUGCCAGGCGCCACAUCAAGGAUUAAAUACCUUAUUUAAUCAUCGAUGCAGCCUGAUGAGGAAUGUGCCAUUGCUGCCCGCUUUAACAACAACGAAACAGACAUGAGCAGAGUUGAUGGAAGCUGUGUAAGGAGAGAACCAAAGGCUCUGUCUGAGCCCGGGUGUCUGAUGCCACAACCCAGCCACAAUCUCCAUGCUACCAUUUCCCCUGACAGACACCGAAGUAACACAGCCCCUCGGGAGAGCUGGGCCCCCAAGUUAGGGACAGGUAAAUGGCGACACAGAAUAUAAGCUCCUCCAAGGCAGGAAUUUUGUGUUUUGCUCAUUGAUGGGAAGCAAGCUUCUACAAUAGUGCCAGGCAGGUGGAUGACUUUGAAUAAGUAUUUGUUGGCCAGGGGCGGUGGCUCACACUUGAAAUCCUUGCACUUUGGGAGGCUGAGGCAGGUGGGUUGCUUGAGCCCAGGGGAUUGAGACCAGCCUGGGCAGCAUGGUGAAACCCUGUCUCUACAAAAAAUACACACAAAAAAAUUAACCAAGCAUGGUGGCGGUUGCCUGUAGUCCCAGCUGCUUGGGAGUCU
rnacentral:lncRNA from 10 species